rnacentral:rRNA from 1 species
AUUGAACGCUGGCGGCAUGCCUUACACAUGCAAGUCGAACGGCAGCACGGGAGCAAUCCUGGUGGCGAGUGGCGAACGGGUGAGUAAUAUAUCGGAACGUGCCCAGUCGUGGGGGAUAACGUAGCGAAAGCUACGCUAAUACCGCAUACGAUCUAUGGAUGAAAGCGGGGGAUCGCAAGACCUCGCGCGAUUGGAGCGGCCGAUAUCAGAUUAGGUAGUUGGUGAGGUAAAGGCUCACCAAGCCGACGAUCUGUAGCUGGUCUGAGAGGACGACCAGCCACACUGGGACUGAGACACGGCCCAGACUCCUACGGAGGCAGCAGUGGGGAAUUUUUGGACAAUGGGCGCAAGCCUGAUCCAGCAAUGCCGCGUGCAGGAUGAAGGCCUUCGGUGUAACUAGCUUUUGUACGGUAACGAAACGGUA